CGGACCGCGUGAGCAAGCGCCGCGGAGGCGGCGAACGUGACGUCGCUCCCCGCCGCGGGCCGAACGGCCGAGGCUCCCGCCUCUCCACGUCCUAGCGGAACACACCAGACAGCUUCUCAAAAUUGACUCAGCUGGAGUUGACACAUGCACUACAGUGUAUUUAAUAUCUAGCACUAAGAGGAAUGGCUGGACUUUUUCUCAACUGAGACUCAAGAUUCAGGAAGGCUCUUCCUCAAGGACCUCUCCAGGGUCUGCAGCAUCUGGGCACUUUGCAGUGGGAACAUCGUGGAAGAUACUUUGGCCUAAAGAGAGAACCUGGAAAGAAUGAGAAGAAGCUGAAAGAGAUUCAGAAACAUGAGUAGUCAUUUAUCUAAAAUUGGUUCCCCACUCCACUUUGGGUGUUUUAUGAAUGAGAAAUUUAAAAAAAGCAGCCCCAUAACAACAUUUUCACAGGACAGCAGCACCUGGCAAAUUCGUGCAAUGACCAUGAUGGAAGGGGAUAGAAACGAGUCUAUUCCACAGUCAUGUUUGAGCAUGGACAAAGCAAGAAAGCAGCUUUAUCUGCCAAAUACCGGCCAAAAACUCUCCUCAGAGUCAUGAAGCCAGAACAUCGUGAUCCAGGUAGCCACUACAAAUGGAAUGAAUGGGAGUUGACAUAUGUGAUAGACCUACUCAGGAUCCAUUACACGAGAUAAACGGUUCCUGAUAUAAUGACAACCCUCUCAAACAUUGGAGAAUGUCUACCAAAAGUAUUUACUUAAUGGCUCUACUCAUUUUGUAUGCAAGAAUACUGAGACUCAAGUGUUUAACUUUUGCAAUGUUACCAGGAAACGGAAUUUGUGGGGUCAAAGCAGACCCUUCCCCCUCCACAGUUGCCCCACACUACCUCAGUAGGAAGGAUCAUGGGCUCAAGAAGGCAAUAAAGACCUGCAGCACAGUCUAGAUAAUUUCAGGGUUUUUGAAAGUUUAAUACCAUGUUACACUUAAUAUGGAAAAACAUACGUGGUAUGAUUUCAAUUCUGUUAAAAGCCUUAAAAAUAUGAUCUGCCUUUGUACAUGUUCCAUGUACACUUGAAAAGAAUGUGUAUUCUGCUAUGGUUGAGGGACAUACUCUGUAAAUAUCAAUUAAGUUGGUUCAUAGUAUUUUCCAGACCUUCUAUAUAAGUUAUAGACUUUCUGCCUAUUCUAUAAAUUACUCAGAGAAGAGUGUCAAAGUCUUUAAUUACACCUAUGGGUUUACCUGUUUAUUCUUUCAGUUCUAUCAGUUUUUGUCCUGUGUCCUUUGAGCUUCUAUUAUUAGAAAUAUACAUUUUCAUGUCUUCUCAGUGAAUUGAUACCUUUAUCAUAAUGCAAUGACACUUCUAUCCCCAGUAAUAUUCUAGUCUCUUUGCAACAUAUAUUAUUGCCCCCCCAAAGACCCUAAAUCUUUGUGUACAAGAUCAUUGAUCUAUUUCUGAAACAAAAUUUCUGUCCAUUCCCUAAUUAAACAUAAUCAUUUGAGGUUUGA